rnacentral:rRNA from 1 species
GACGAACCGAGCGACCGUUGUUCGGAAUUACUGGGCGUAAAGGGCGCGUAGGCGGCCUGUUAAGUCGAACGUGAAAUCCCCGGGCUCAACCCGGGAACUGCGUCCGAUACUGGCAGGCUUGAAUCCGGGAGAGGGAUGCGGAAUUCCAGGUGUAGCGGUGAAAUGCGUAGAUAUCUGGAGGAACACCGGUGGCGAAGGCGGCAUCCUGGACCGGCAUUGACGCUGAGGCGCGAAAGCCAGGGGAGCAAACGGG